UACGGAGGGGGCUAGCGUUGUUCGGAAUCACUGGGCGUAAAGGGUGCGUAGGCGGGUCUUUAAGUCAGGGGUGAAAUCCUGGAGCUCAACUCCAGAACUGCCUUUGAUACCGAAGAUCUUGAGUUCGGGAGAGGUGAGUGGAACUGCGAGUGUAGAGGUGAAAUUCGUAGAUAUUCGCAAGAACACCAGUGGCGAAGGCGGCUCACUGGCCCGAUACUGACGCUGAGGCACGAAAGCGUGGGGAGCAAACAGG
rnacentral:rRNA from 1 species